rnacentral:rRNA from 1 species
UGGGGAAUCUUGGACAAUGGGGGCAACCCUGAUCCAGCAAUGCCGCGUGUGUGAAGAAGGCCUGCGGGUUGUAAAGCACUUUCAGUAGAGCAGAAAAGCCUGGGACUAAUACUCCCGGGUCUUGACGUAACCUACAGAAGAAGCACCGGCUAACUCCGUGCCAGCAGCCGCGGUAAUACGGAGGGUGCAAGCGUUAAUCGGAAUUACUGGGCGUAAAGCGUGCGUAGGCGGUUGGGUAAGUCGGAUGUGAAAGCCCCGGGCUUAACCUGGGAAUUGCAUUCGAUACUGCUCAACUAGAGUGUGGGAGAGGGAAGUGGAAUUUCCGGUGUAGCGGUGAAAUGCGUAGAUAUCGGAAGGAACACCAGUGGCGAAGGCGACUUCCUGGCCCAACACUGACGCUCAGGCACGAAAGCAUGGGGAGCAAACAGGAUUAGAUACCCGCGUAGUCC